rnacentral:rRNA from 1 species
CUACGGGGCGCUCCAGUGGGGAAUAUUGGACAAUGGGCGCAAGCCUGAUCCAGCAAUGCCGCGUGGGUGAAGAAGGCCUGCGGGUUGUAAAGCCCUUUCGGCCGGGAAGAAAAGCUUCGGGCUAAUACUCCGGAGUCUUGACGUUACCGGCAGAAGGAGCACCGGCUAACUCUGUGCCAGCAGCCGCGGUAAUACAGAGGGUGCUAGCGUUAAUCGGAAUUACUGGGCGUAAAGCGCACGUAGGCGGCUUGGCAAGUCGGAUGUGAAAGCCCCGGGCUUAACCUGGGAACUGCAUUCGAUACUGCCUGGCUCGAGUGUGGUAGAGGGUAGUGGAAUUCCGGGUGUAGCGGUGAAAUGCGUAGAUAUCCGGAGGAACACCAGUGGCGAAGGCGGCUACCUGGACCAACACUGACGCUGAGGUGCGAAAGCGUGGGGAGCAAACAGGAUUAGAUACCCUAGUAGUC